rnacentral:rRNA from 1 species
GAUGAAGCCAGCUUGCUGGGUGGAUUAGUGGCGAACGGGUGAGUAACACGUGAGUAACCUGCCCUUAACUCUGGGAUAAGCCUGGGAAACUGGGUCUAAUACCGGAUAGGAGCGCCCACCGCAUGGUGGGUGUUGGAAAGAUUUAUCGGUUUUGGAUGGACUCGCGGCCUAUCAGCUUGUUGGUGAGGUAAUGGCUCACCAAGGCGACGACGGGUAGCCGGCCUGAGAGGGUGACCGGCCACACUGGGACUGAGACACGGCCCAGACUCCUACGGGAGGCAGCAGUGGGGAAUAUUGCACAAUGGGCGAAAGCCUGAUGCAGCGACGCCGCGUGAGGGAUGACGGCCUUCGGGUUGUAAACCUCUUUCAGUAGGGAAGAAGCGAAAGUGACGGUACCUGCAGAAGAAGCACCGGCUAACUACGUGCCAGCAGCCGCGGUAAUACGUAGGGUGCGAGCGUUAUCCGGAAUUAUUGGGCGUAAAGAGCUCGUAGGCGGUUUGUCGCGUCUGUCGUGAAAGUCCGGGGCUUAACCCCGGAUCUGCGGUGGGUACGGGCAGACUAGAGUGCAGUAGGGGAGACUGGAAUUCCUGGUGUAGCGGUGGAAUGCGCAGAUAUCAGGAGGAACACCGAUGGCGAAGGCAGGUCUCUGGGCUGUAACUGACGCUGAGGAGCGAAAGCAUGGGGAGCGAACAGGAUUAGAUACCCUGGUAGUCCAUGCCGUAAACGUUGGGCACUAGGUGUGGGGACCAUUCCACGGUUUCCGCGCCGCAGCUAACGCAUUAAGUGCCCCGCCUGGGGAGUACGGCCGCAAGGCUAAAACUCAAAGGAAUUGACGGGGGCCCGCACAAGCGGCGGAGCAUGCGGAUUAAUUCGAUGCAACGCGAAGAACCUUACCAAGGCUUGACAUGUUCUCGAUCGCCGUAGAGAUACGGUUUCCCCUUUGGGGCGGGUUCACAGGUGGUGCAUGGUUGUCGUCAGCUCGUGUCGUGAGAAUGUUGGGUUAAGUCCCGCAACGAGCGCA